GAGUUCACAGGGGGGACGCGGAGGGACGAGUUUAGUGGGCGCUGUGGGUUCUGCCUGCCGCCCCCCAGGCCAGCCCCGGUGCCCUCUCAGGGCCGCCCGACUCCACAGCCUCGUUGCCGCCGGAGCCAGCUCUUUCAGGCCUGGACGCCGGGGCUGAGAGCGGGUGCGGCCAUGGACUUCUCUAAGUUCCUGGCGGAAGACUUCGACGUGAAGGAGUGGAUCAACGCGGCCUUCAGGACCGGCUCCAAGGAGGCGGCGGCCGGGAAGGCGGACGGCCACGCGGCCACCCUGGUGAUGAAGCUGCAGCUGUUCAUCCAGGAGGUGAACCACGCCGUAGAGGAAACAAGUCACCAGGCUCUUCAGAACAUGCCCAAAGUGCUCCGCGACGUCGAAGCCCUGAAACAGGAAGCGUCUUUUCUGAAAGAACAGAUGAUUCUUGUCAAGGAGGACAUUAAAAAGUUUGAACAGGAUACAUCUCAGUCGAUGCAGGUAUUGGUAGAAAUCGACCAGGUGAAGUCCAGAAUGCAGCUCGCGGCCGAGUCCCUUCAGGAAGCGGACAAGUGGAGCACAUUGAGUGCUGACAUCGAGGAGACCUUCAAGACUCAGGACAUAGCUGUGAUUUCUGCCAAGCUGACCGGUAUGCAGAACAGCUUAAUGAUGCUUGUUGAUACGCCAGACUACUCAGAAAAAUGUGUGCAUCUGGAGGCGCUGAAGAACAGGCUGGAGGCCUUGGCCUCGCCGCAGAUUGUCGCGGCCUUCACCUCCCCGUCUGUAGAUCAGUCCAGAGUGUUUGUGAAGGUGUUUACUGAAAUCGACCGGAUGCCCCAGCUGCUUGCCUACUACUACAAAUGCCACAAGGCGCAGCUCUUAGCGACCUGGCAAGAACUGUGCCAGAGUGACCUCCCCCUGGACCGGCAGCUCACGGAGUUCUAUGAUGCCUUGCUCGGGGCCUGGCACACGCAAAUCCAGUGGGCAGCGCAGGUUUUCAAGAACCCCCACGAGGUGGUGACCGUGCUGCUGAUUCAGACUCUGGGGGCCUUGCUGCCCGCUCUGCCCGACUGCCUCAGCUCUAGCCUGGAGAGGGCAGGGCCUGAGCUGGAGCUUCUCAAGCUGCUGGAGUUCUAUGACGCCACCGCCCACUUUGCCAAGGGAUUGGAGAUGGCGCAGCUCCCCCACCCACAUGACUACAACCUGGUGAAAGUCACGGAACUGGUGGAGGCUGUGUAUGGUCCAUACAAACCCUACCAGCUGAAGUACGGCGACCUGGAAGAGAAGAACGUCCUCAUCCAGAUCAGCGCGGUGCCCUUGGAACACGGAGAAGUCAUUGACUGCGUGCAGGAGCUGAGCCACUCCGUGAACAAGCUCUUUGGUCUGGCUUCUGCAGCCGUCGACAGAUGCGUCAGAUUCACCAACGGCCUGGGGACCUGCGGCUUGCUGGCAGCACUGAAAUCCCUCUUUGCCAAGUACGUGUCUGAUUUCACCAGCACUCUCCAGUCAAUACGAAAGAAGUGUAAGCUCGAUGAUAUUCCUCCCAACUCACUUUUUCAAGAAGAUUGGACAGCUUUUCAGAAUUCCAUCAGGAUAAUAGCCACCUGUGGUGAGCUCUUGCGGCAAUGUGGGGACUUCGAGCAGCAGCUAGCAAACAGGAUUUUGUCUACAGCUGGCAAGUAUCUCUCGGACUCCUACAGCCCUCGAAGCCUGGCCGGGUUUCAGGAUAGCAUCUUGACAGACAAGAAGAGCUCUGCCAAGAACCCAUGGCAAGAAUAUAAUUACCUCCAGAAGGAUAACCCUGCUGAAUAUGCCAGUUUAAUGGCAAUACUAUAUACCCUCAAGGAGAAAGGAUCCAGCAACCACAACCUGCUGUCUGCGUCUCGCACGGCCCUGACUCGCCUUAACCAGCAGGCCCACCAGCUGGCUUUCGAUUCCGUGUUCCUGCGCAUCAAACAGCAGCUGCUACUCGUUUCCAAGAUGGACAGCUGGAACACAGCAGGCAUUGGCGAGACCUUGACCGACGACCUGCCCACCUUCAGUCUCACACCUCUGGAGUACAUCAGCAAUAUCGGGCAGUACAUCAUGUCCCUCCCCCUGAAUCUUGAGCCUUUUGUGACUCAGGAGGACUCUGCCUUGGAGCUGGCCCUGCACGCUGGGAAACUGCCCUUUCCUCCUGAGCAAGGGGACGAAUUGCCCGAGCUGGACAACAUGGCCGACAACUGGCUGGGCUCCAUCGCCAGAGCCACGAUGCAGACCUACUGUGACGUGAUCCUGCAGCUCCCCGAGCUGACCCCGCACUCCACCAAGCAGCUGGCCACUGACAUCGACUACCUGAUCAACGUGAUGGACGCCCUGGGCCUGCAGCCAUCCCGUACCCUUCAGAACAUCGUGACCCUCCUGAAGAUCAAACCCGAGGAUUACAGGCAGUGAAUAUUUAGGUGCCUUCCAUGUGCCGCGCUCCAGGCCUUGGGACACAGGCCAGAAAGGAGGGGGAGAAUCACCAGAGAAACCAGCGAAUAAGAGGAUGUCGGAUGGUGGCAUCAGGGUGGAGGGCAGCCCCCAGACCCACAGAUCAGCGCCAUGCCUGGCAGUGAGGGACCAGUGCAGACCAGGCCCUGGGUCACAUCCAAGGUUCUUGGCGAAGGCCACCAGCUUGAUGAUAGUGAUCCACACAAAGUCGAUAAGGAUCUCUCCGAAUUCGAUGAGGCACAGCACCGAGCCCCCCAUCCAGAAGCCAAACUGGCCACCCAGGGCCGCCGCCUCCAGGUCUCCUCCUGGACCUGACCAGUGUGAGGUGUCUGAGUCGAUGCCCUGUAUCCAAACCCCUCCCUUCAGGCUCUGGUUCCGCCCAUUUUCUGUAUGCGCCUGCCCCACCCCAGACUCUAGGCUCACCUGCUCAAGGUGAUGUUGGUGCUCUGGUCCCGCUCCUGAGACAGGACGUGGAAAAUCCAAUCCUGGAAUCCAAGAAGGCAGCUGAAAAAAUGGCACCUGCAGCACUGCCUCCCAGUCAUGGGCCCUGCCCCCUUUCAGGGACAGACCACAGCCCUGAAGCUUCCCGAAGCCCCCUGGGACGGUGCUGGCACAGAGAGGAGAAAGGUAAUAGUGCACACCGGCUGCUGCUGCGGGGAGAAGGCACUCUGGGCUCCAGACACCUCCCCCAGAAGCCCAGCAUGGCACAGGCUCUAACCCACCUCCCGCCCUCGCGUAUGCUGUUCCUCCGCCCGCGUCCUCCUCCCCAGCCCGCCCAGGCCAGCUCAGCUCAUGCUGCAGCUUUCACUCAAAUGUCACCUUUGCUGGGAGGUCUUCCCUGACCACUCUGUCUAAAGUGGCCUCCCCUGGUUACUCUCCGCUCACCCUGUGUACUUCCUACCAUCAUCAACUUAGAAAUGAUCUAAUUUCUGUGUAUUGUCCAUCUCUGCCACUAAAAUGUAAGCUCCCUAAGCGCAAA